rnacentral:lncRNA from 1 species
UACACCCAUCUCUUGUCACUGUGUAUUUUGACAAGCAGCACCCCAGCCUUGUGUUGGAUAGUGGGUGCAUGAGUUGUGCUGUUGGGCUGUAUGAGGGUAGUUUGGGAUAUCUGCAGUCCUGCAGUAAAGGGUGAAGUCCUACCUGCCUGUGGAUUUGGCAGUUUAUAGUCUCAUCAGAUACAGAGUCAUGUGGAUAAGUUUUUCUUCUUAUUUUUCAGUGCAUUGGUGAGGUUGUACCUUGGAGCUGAAUUCUUCAGAGCCUGGCACCUGGGCAGAUGCAGGAGCAUUUCUCCUGGUGAGCGUGUGGCUGGAGCCAGAUUCCUCCAAAGACCCAGUGAAUAGCUUGUCCUAUCAUCUACUGAUAAACAGACAAACCAGACAUAGCCUGGGGUCUUCUCCAGCUAUGCAGAAGUAUCUAUUUGUCAAGAUGGUCCUCGUAAUUACCAUUCGUUAUCACAAUGGAAAACAGAUCUCUCAAUUGGUUUCCUAAUACAUCUUCAGCAUUAGCUGGGACAUGAGCUGGAAGGUAAGUUACAUUUGAAUAUAUAAUGUAAUACUUUGGUUUUAAGUCUCUUAAAUUCCUUGGCAUUGGGCUUGCCUGGCAAGGUUUUGGUAGCAGGGGCCUGCAGAGUGGUCAGGUGCCCCGUGUCAGAUCAUAGCCAGCUCCAGCUGCUCCAGAAGGCACCUAUUGCUGCCAGAGCUGAGAUGUGAGCACUGCUGGGUGUGCUCUGUGAUGGCAGCCCAUGGAGAGGAGACCACAGUGGGGCAGAAGAGCUGGGGGAGCUGCUGCCUGUGGAGUCCUGUGCUGGAGAAGAGCCUGAAGGAUGGGCCCUGU